rnacentral:rRNA from 1 species
GAGUUUGAUCAGGAUCCAGGAUGAAGGCUUGAGUAAUACCUAAUACUAGCUAGUCGUACGGGGUACAGGAGCACUUUGGUUAUUAAUGGCGAACGGGUCAGUAACGCGUUGGGAACCUGCCCCAAAGAGGGGGAUAACAACCCGAAAGGGUAUUUAAUACCGCAAUUAGUUGAAAAUUAUUAGUAAGUUUCAAAUAAAGGAGAUUUCCUCUCUGGGAGGGGCCUGUGUCCCAUCAGCUAGUUGGGAGGGUAACGGCUCCCCAAGGCGAUGAGGGGUAAGGGCCCUGAGAGGGUGACCCCCCGCCAUGGCUCUGAAACACGGUCCCUACACCUACGGGUGGCCACAGUAGGGAAUAUUGCACCAUGGGCGAAAGCCNAANCAGCAACCCCGCGGGAGUGAAAAAGGCCUUNGGGU